GCUGAACACCGCAUCAGCAGCAGCAAGCAGCUAAUCGCGCACGUACGCACACCGCGACCCGGGGCGAGAUGGCGCAGUCGAUGCUGGUGUCGGGAGCCAAUGGCACGGUGGCCGCCGCGAGCACCAGCAGGCUGCAGCCCGUGCGGCCGACGCCGUUCUCGCGGCUCGUGCUGUCGCAGCCGUCGUCGUCGCUGGGGCGCGCGGUGUCCGUCAAGACGGUGGCGCUGUUCGGCAGGUCCAAGACCAAGGCCGCGCCCGCAAGAAAGGCUGAGCCGAAGCCAAAGUUCAAGACCGAGGACGGCAUCUUCGGCACGUCCGGUGGGAUCGGUUUCACCAAGGAGAACGAGCUGUUCGUCGGGCGUGUCGCCAUGCUCGGGUUUGCCGCGUCGAUCCUGGGUGAGGCCAUCACCGGGAAGGGAAUCCUGGCGCAGCUGAACCUGGAGACGGGGAUCCCGAUCUACGAGGCGGAGCCCCUCCUCCUCUUCUUCAUCCUCUUCACCCUCCUCGGCGCCAUCGGCGCGCUCGGCGACCGCGGCAGCUUCGUCGACGACCAGCCGGUGACGGGCCUCGACAAGGCCGUCAUCGCCCCGGGCAAGGGCUUCCGCUCCGCGCUGGGCCUCAGCGAGGGCGGCCCGCUGUUCGGCUUCACCAAGGCCAACGAGCUGUUCGUCGGCCGGCUCGCGCAGCUCGGCAUCGCCUUCUCCAUCAUCGGCGAGAUCAUCACCGGCAAGGGCGCCCUCGCGCAGCUCAACAUCGAGACCGGCGUCCCCAUCAACGAGAUCGAGCCGCUCGUCCUCUUCAACGUCGUCUUCUUCUUCAUCGCCGCCAUCAACCCCGGCACCGGCAAGUUCGUCAGCGACGACGACGAAGAGUAGAAUUACGAGGAUCGAUCGAUCUACCGAGGUUUCGCCGCCAUUGUUGUGCUUGCGCAUCAUUGAGACUUUCUUUCAAGUGUAUAUGUACUGUGUACGUGUAGGUGUAAAGACGUACCUUGUUUAAUUAGUUGUUAAUUAAUGCCCAUGGAGAAAAUUAACG
rnacentral:misc_RNA from 1 species